GAAAUGGCUACUGUUGUUACAGAAGAGUGUCCUGAUCUGCACAUCAGGAGCAUCAUAGAACUGCUUGAACAUGAAGAUCUUACACCGGAACAGAAGGACACAGUUUCAGAUCUUUCCAUGUCUUGGGAUCUUCCGGCAGUCACCAAAACAAAUCGGAGAUGGCUACAUAACAAACUUCUACUCCAUGCAGUCGUUGGGAGGACCAUGCGCCAAAUUAAACAGUUGAGAAAGGA